rnacentral:lncRNA from 1 species
UGAUAGUUGGGGACAUUAACAAUGGGCCCAGAUCUCCUCACCCAUCUUAGCCACCUCUUGGUGCCCCUCCCUUCUUCAAAAAGGCAACAGUAGCAUCUGAAAUGGGAGGGGGCGCCUUGCUGAUAGUUGAGCUGUACCCAUGUUGAAGUGGAGUGGAGGAGUGUGGCCACUAGGCAGAGAGCAGGUGCUGCCACACUGGCAAAGGGGUGCCUUCCACUGGAUCUCAGCCUCAUGAGGACACAUGAACAGUUUCUCAAGAAUCAGCUGCUGUGUGCAGGCGCAGGAUGGAGGAAUCCAUUGUGACUGUGAGCAGAUGCCCACGCAAACAUGAGCUCCAGGGCAUCGUGGAGCUUAAUGGAGCCUUUUCCUUGUGGAUUUCCUGUUUCGGAAGUUUAUCUAUUCACCUUUGCAUGCAUUUAC